rnacentral:rRNA from 1 species
GAUGAACGCUAGCGGCAGGCUUAAUACAUGCAAGUCGUGGGGCAGCAUGAGUAGCAAUACUUGAUGGCGACCGGCAAACGGGUGAGGAACACGUACACAACCUUCCUUCAAGCGGGGAAUAGCCCAGAGAAAUUUGGAUUAAUACCCCAUAAUAUAUUUGAUAAGGCAUCUUAUUAAUAUUAAAGCUUCGGCACUUGAUGAUGGGUGUGCGGCUGAUUAGAUAGUUGGCGGGGUGACGGCCCACCAAGUCUACGAUCAGUAGCUGAUGUGAGAGCAUGAUCAGCCACACGGGCACUGAGACACGGGCCCGACUCCUACGGGAGGCAGCAGUAAGGAAUAUUGGACAAUGGACGAAAGUACUGAUCCAGCCAUGCCGCGUGAAGGA